rnacentral:rRNA from 1 species
UACAGAGGUCCCAAGCGUUGUUCGGAUUCACUGGGCGUAAAGGGUGCGUAGGUGGUCGGGUAAGUCUGAUGUGAAAUCUCUGGGCUCAACCCAGAAAUGGCAUUGGAUACUAUUCGGCUAGAGGAGUGGAGGGGGGACUGGAAUACUUGGCGUAGCAGUGAAAUGCGUAGAUAGUCAAGUGGAACACCAGUGGCGAAGGCGAGUCCCUGGACACUUCCUGACACUGAGGCACGAAAGCUAGGGGAGCAAACAGG